rnacentral:sRNA from 1 species
GCCGGGUGCAGUGGUGCAUGCCUGUAAUCCCAGCGGCUCGGGAAGCUAAGACAGGAGGAUCGCGAGUUCAAAGCCAGCCUCAGCAAAAAACGAGGUGCUGAGCAACUCAGUGAGACCCUGUCUCU